UAUAAAAGGUAUUUUUCUCUUAGACAAGUCUAAAUCGCCUAGACAAGUCUAAAUCUAUCGUUUAGCAUAAACAGCUACUACAGAAGGAUGUUUAGUUUGGACGUGUCUAAAACUGUCAUCCAAGAUAGACUAGGGUGUCUAAAUAACAAAGGAAUUGAAAAACAUACCUGGGGGCUUGUUUUGCAGCUGUUUAAGCUUAUGAUUCAUACAUGUAGAGGAGGUUACGGCGUGUGGUCGGCAGAAUGGAUGCUCUCGCUAUACUUGAAUUUGCACAAGACGAACGAGAGGAGCAUGAAAAUGAAAUUCAGAGAAGACGCAUGAGGGUGUUCAGGGACAGAGAAAAUCCUUUAGAGGAACUGUCAGACCCGAAGUUCUUGAGGCGCUUUCGAAUUUCUAAAGAAACAUUUCGAUGGCUACUCGAUCUCAUCAGUGAAGACCUACGUCGGCCAACUCGGCGAAACCAAGCACUUGCACCACUUUUGCAACUGGCGAUUGCUCUUCGAUUUUAUGCAAAUGGUGCAUUUCAACAUGUCACUGGAGAUACCUGUGGUGUGUCACAAUGGGCCUGCGGCGAAGCUAUCCAUCGAGUCACAAGGGAAAUAUGUGAUAGAAAGGGAAAUUUCAUAACUUUUCCCGAAACCCAGGCGGAACGACUAAGGGUGCAGCAAGGAUUCCGCGAUAUUGCGCAAUUCCCAGGUGUAAUUGGUGCUAUCGAUGGUUCGCACGUUCCCAUCGCAAACCCAGGAGGAAUUAAUGCCCAGCGUUUCAUGAAUCGAAAGGGUUACUAUAGCCUGAACUGCCAACUUGUUUGUGACCAUGAGUUAUGCUUCACCAAUGUCGUCUCCAGAUGGUACGGCUCUGCGCACGAUUCCAGAAUCUUUGAGGAAUCACGACUUUGCCAAAGAUUCAGAGCAGGAGAGCUCCAGGGUAUUUUGCUGGGUGACCCAGCAUACACGUGCACCAGAUAUAUGUUGACUCCGGUUCGUGAACCAAGAAACGUUGCAGAGCGGAAUUACAAUCAAGCCCAAAGGAGGACAAGAGGGGUCGUCGAGAGAGCGUUUGGGGUUUGGAAAUGACGAUUCCACGCUGUUGGUAGGGGAAAUACCCUUCGAUGUUCAUUGCAGCACAAUAUGGCCAUAAUCAUGGCUACAGCAUGUCUCCACAACUUGGCCAUUCGCAGAAACGAUCCACUUCCAGAUGAUUAUCAUGAUGAUGCCAAUAUGCGCCGAUAGCCAGCAGAGGAAGCGCAUCAUCAUGAAGCUAACCUACGAGGCAACUUAUUUCGCCAAAGAUUCAUAAGACAGCACUUCCAGUAGGCAAGUGCUUGGUCGGUCUUCUUUAAGACAGGAGAUUCAUCGGACAUGGUAGCCCUCUUCUCAAGGCUGGAAAGAAGAAUGCAAAGUCAUUUAGCAACGCGUGUGGUCAGGAACUCCAAAGUGUUGGAGGUCCAUAGUGUAAAGUGAUUAGAUUUGACUGAUACAUCGUUGUAUUCCAUUCACUGCUUACCUUUUACUAGAACGUGGUUUCCUGGGGGUUGCGGCAGAGCUGUUGUGAAGAUCGUAGUUAC